rnacentral:tRNA from 1 species
GCGGGUAUAGUAUAGAGGUAAUACGCAAGCUUCCCAAGCUUGAAUCGGGGGUUCAAUUCCCCUUACCCGCUCCA